CAAAGAAGUAGUUUAAUAAAAACAUUAGCAUUGGAAGCUAAAGAUUAGGUACAACCCUACACUUUGA
rnacentral:tRNA from 1 species